GGCGUGUACUGCUUGGCUGGGCCUUACUUCUUGGUGAGCCGGCGUGCCCUUUAUUGGUGUGCGUCGGGGAACCAAGACUUUUACCUUGAGAAAAUUAGAGUGUUCAAAGCGCGCCUAUGCCUGAAUACAUUAACAUGGAAUAAUAGAAUAGGACGUGCGGUUCUAUUUUGUUGGUUUCUAGAGUCCCCGUAAUGAUUAAUAGGGACAGUUGGGGGCAUUGGUAUUGAGUCGCUAGAGGUGAAAUUCUUGGAUUGACUCAAGACCGACUAUUGCGAAAGCAUUUGCCAAGGAUGUUUUCAUUAAUCAAGAACGAAGGUUAGGGGAUCGAAAACGAUCAGAUACCGUUGUAGUCUUAACAGUAAACUAUGCCGACUAGGGAUCGGAUGACCUCAAAAUUGAUGUGUCAUUCGGCACCUUACGAGAAAUCAAAGUCUUUGGGUUUUGGGGGGAGUAUGGUCGCAAGGCUGAAACUUAAAGGAAUUGACGGAAGGGCACCCCCAGGUGUGGAGCCUGCGGCUUAAUUUGACUCAACACGGGGAAACUCACCAGGUCCAGACAUAACUAGGAUUGACAGAUUGAUAGCUCUUUCAUGAUUUUAUGGGUGGUGGUGCAUGGCCGUUCUUAGUUGGUGGAGUGAUUUGUCUGGUUAAUUCCGAUAACGAACGAGACCUUAACCUCCUAAAUAGCCAGCCCGGCUUCGGCUGGUCUCUGGCUUCUUAGAGGGACUGUCAG
rnacentral:rRNA from 1 species